GCUUCCUUGGCUCAGUUGGUAGAGCGUUGGUCUCAUAAUCCAAAGGUCGCCAGUUCGAGCCUGGCAGGGAGCA
rnacentral:tRNA from 2 species